UCUGUUUAUCAAAUGUCUAAUUAUAAGAAAUAACAUAUUGUUCGUAAUAUUAGAAUCUAAACAUUAGAAGUGUCACUAGAAGUGAAGCAGAGACACUCUUAUUUGUAGAUAUUUGUCUGCAGUUUGAAAUGCCACCAAGGGUGAGUCCGGCAAAUGAUGCCAUCCAUCAUGUUCUCUCAAAGAUGGAUAAAACUUUAAAACUGGAGGUGAAAUACAUAAAUGCAGAGAAAGGAAAGACAUUGUGAGAUGUGGUAUUUUGCGUUUUAAUAUCUCCAAGUAAUUGAGAAUUUGAGUAGAUGAUAUUUCCUGUUCCACUAAAAAUAUCUGUUUUUAAACGACGAGGAGUAUUUGCCAGAAAGACAUUCUGCUGCGGAGAAUUUGUAGUGGAAUACAAAGGUGAUAUGAUCGAUGAUGCUGAAGCCCAAAGAAGACGAAAGAUUUUCCACCCAUCAUGCACUGCCUUUUUUUUGCAGUGGAGAGGAAAAUUAUGGUGCAUUGACGCCUCAAGAGAAGACGAUUCAUUGGGGCGACUAGUUAAUGAUCAACACAAAGGCCCAAACUGCAGGAUGAAAAAGAUCGAUGUAGGAAGCCGAACUUGUGUCUUUUCGCUGCAGUUGAUUUUAAUAUUUCUUCUCUCACGUUUGGUUUCUCUUACCAUGUUUCCAAAUUCAUAAGUUUAUCUUUAGUGAAUCACUUAGACUAACUACUUAUUACACAGUGCUACCUAAAUUAUCAAUUUUGGUUCAUGGAUUGAAAAGAUUUCCAUCUGAUAUAUUUGGAGGCAAGCACACAUGCUGGACAUGACCCUUUUGUGGAUGGUGCCCAUGCUGAAGUCCCUUCAGGACCACAGGUGGAUGAUGACAACCAUGACAUCACGUCUAAUGAACAGAUUGUGACAGAUGUCGGAAAUUAAGAUGGGACUUUUGUCGGACAAAAAGUAUCAUAAUGGAAAAGACAGAUUUCGAAGACCCUGAUGAAUUAUAUGAUUCUACAUCAGAUAGUGGAGAUGAUUAUGUGCCAGAUUCCACCUCUAAAAAGUGAUGACAGUGAUUUCAACCUCACAUCAGUCAUUGGGACAAAACUGUGGCCCCUGACUGAAUUAUGUCAUGACUCUGAAUCGAUGUGUCCUCCAGUGUGUGACACCACGACACCACACCUUGAAAGCUUGAGAUACAACAGCAGUACAUCUGACAUCAGUGUGAGUGAAGAACCCUGUUCAAGUCAGGAUGCAAUUGACACCAUAGUUGUGCAAGCUUCCCAAAAGUGAAAUGGCAACAGAGUGUACAACAAGACACAGUAUUGCUUGUAUUGCAAGAAGGCCUAUGCAAAGAUGGCAAGACAUCUAGAACAUGCACAUCAUAAUAAACUGGAUGUGGCUAAAGCUCUUAGUUUACCAAAAGGUUCCUUGGAGAGAAAGAAACAGUUAGAGUAUAUUCGCAACAGAGGCAACUAUGCCCACAACGCUGCUGUUAUAGAGUCAGGGAAAGGGGAGUUGGUUCCAUUCAAACGGCCAACUAAAGAUGCACAGGGGAAGGAUUUCAUGCACUGUGCAUACUGCCAAGCACUUUUUACACAAAGUCCUGUGGUGACACAUGCGAACUUCAGCCUGCAUCCAUACCUGUCAAACCAGGAAAGAAUCGUGUUCAGUCCAUGUGCACAUUCAUGCAACCUGUGCCUUCGCACGUUGGUAAACAGAUGUGGGGAGUUAUCAGUGCCAUGAUUCCUAAUCCGAUCACCGAUGUUGUGAAAAAUGAUAAUGUCAUCAUCCAUGUUGGACAGCACCUAUUGAACAAGGGUGGGAUGUCGGCCAAGAAUCAACAGUGUGUGUGUGAAAAGAUGCGAGAAAUGGGAAGACUGAUUCUUAAUGCCAGAAGAGUUACCUCCUUAAAAACAAUGGCGGAUUUCGUAAUUCCAAAGAAUUACUUGCAGGUGAUCAAAGCUGGCAAGGUGACUUGUGGCUAUGACAGUGAUUCUAACAAAUUCGCGAUUCCAUCACUUGCCAAUGAACUUGGCCAUACAUGCCGUUGACGGAAGAUGUUCAGAAACUGCGUAAGUUUCUCAGUCAAAAGCAAGAUAAGUGCAUCAGUGAACUCUCCGACAGUACUUCCAAAAAGACUUGGAUAGGCAAAGGUGUGCUUAGCACAGAUCAUCCUCUUUAACUGUCGCAGGGAAGGAGAGGUGGCAAGCAUGCCCUUGUCUGCAUUUUUGUCAAGGGACAAGUCCGAUCCUCACCAGGAUUUGGACUGGGCACUCUCUGAAGUAGAGAAAAGACUCUGCAGACAUUUCACAAGGAUUGUGAUCUGGGGAAAAGAGGUAGACCGGUUCCAAUUUUCGUGACUCAGAAAAUGCUGAAUGCACUGGAACUCCUGGUUUUAGAGGGAAAGGCUUGUGGGUUUCUCGAAGAGAAUGGCUACAUGUUUGCAAGACCAGCAGCUAAAAUGCAUUUCCGUGGUUCGGAUUGCCUCCGUGCUUUUUCAGGAGCAUGUGGUGCAACCUUGUCCCAAGGCACUGACUUCCACCAGGCUACGGAAACAUGCUGCAACACUCUCAACAGUCCUCAACAUGACAGACACAGAGAUGGACCAGUUGGCCAACUUUCAUGGGCAUGACUCUAGAGUCCAUCGUGAGUUCUAUCGACUACCUGAGAAAGCACUGCAGCUUGCCAAGGUCAGCAAACUUCUAAUGGCCCUCGAGCAAGGAAGCCUGGCUGAGUUCCAUUGCAAAAACCUGGAUGAAAUCACCAUAGGUCCAGAUGGUAUGUUGUCGUUUCUUUUGUCCACCAUGAUUCUAUUUUAGUUUGCUCUUCUUUUUGUAUGUCUCCCACAGACACAGUUCUUUGUCAUGAUGAGACGGAUGAGACGGAUGAGACCAGAGAAGGACACUAUUCAUCUCAAGAGCGUUUGGCAGAAGAGACUCUUCCACCUACAGAGGAAAAUGACAUCCCACCACUACACAAGAGACACAAACUAUCAUCAGUAGAGGAUGACAGAGUUGGAGCUGUGACACCUGUUGAAGGUUUCUUGCAGUAACAGAUGAACAUCUCAAACAUGUCCUUCUCUUCAUCAGAACACAGCUGCCCACCUCACAUAUGGCUGUGUUACAUGCCCAGCAGGGGCAUUGUGUUAGUUUUUCUUGUCCUCUUCUCUCCUCUCUCCCUCCCUAUCCUUCCACCAGGUGCUGAUCAUCAUGAGCUGCACCUGGGAGGACAUGAGGCCACCGCCUUGACUUCUGCCAUGGCCAAUCAUCUGACGGGAGGCUCAAUAAAGGGGAGCCUGUUGAGCUCUCACUCUCUCAACUUGUUUACACUCGAUGCAAUUGCUUUGGCACUCCACCUCCCUCCUUUCCUCCCCCCACCUUGUGUAAACCAGGCUGUGUUUAAGUAUUCAUUAUUAAUUAUAAUUUCUUUAAACCGUCUUUGUCUCAUUUAAAUAUUUGGUUUGUCGUGUUGCUGUCUUGUUUGUCUAACAAACAAAUUAAGAAUGUAACACAAAUGGGGGCUCGUCCGGGAUACUGUGUUCUCUGAGCUAAAAGACAAUCCAGAGGUUUGAUGAGUCAUUGUUUUGUUACCAUAUUUAACUAUGGGUUUUGAGUUGAGGGAGUUGAUUGAAAAUCCAAGCUUUGAUAAACUAGAGUUAUGUCGCAAGGAUGAUUUACUGGCUAUUGCAGCGCACUUUAAUAUUCCAGUGCAAAAAUAUGGUGUAAAAAGGGAGAUUAAAAACAAAGUAUUGAAGUUACUUGAGUUGAAUGUUCUCUCAAUGUCUGUGUCACUUGGUGAUCAUCCUUCUGCUGAAGGGGGUUUCUUUCCGAAAGGUGACCAAGUUGAGUCAGUUACACUGGCUACACCUCCAGCUGAAACGGCUGACGGUGGGCCUGCUCCUACUACUUUGCCUCGUUUUGUGCCUUUCUCCCCAGAGUCGCAUGGGUCCAGUAUGGAUGUUAAAAUCAAGAUACGCCUUGCUCGUCUUCAGCUGGAGGCACAGGAAAAGGAAAAUGUGCGUAAGGCAGAGUAUGACCUCCGAUUACAGGUACGAAAGCUUGAAAUAGAAGCUGAGAAGGAAGUUAAGUUACGGCAGCUUGACGUAGAGGCCCAAAGAAUAUCUUCUAGCCAAAUAUUACCACAAUCAGAAACGUUUACACAGGCAACCCAUAUUAAGCAAGUUUUUAAUGUUGGUAAAAAUGUAGCUUUGGUGCCAACAUUUAGGGAGUCAGAGGUUGACUCUCAUUUCAACGCAUUUGAGAGAAUUGCUACUGCAUUAGAUUGGCCUAAAGACAUGUGGCCCAUCUUGCUUCACUGCAAGCUGGUAGGCAAAGCGCAAGAAGUGGU